rnacentral:lncRNA from 1 species
GGAAGCAGCAGCGCUGCCGCCUCUGCAGCUCGCUCUCGCCUCCUAGCUUCACCGGGCGCCACCAUGUCGGCCUCGGCAGUCUUCAUUCUGGACGUCAAGGGCAAGCCUCUGAUUAGCCGAAACUACAAAGGCGAUGUGCCCAUGACGGAGAUUGACCACUUCAUGCCUCUGCUUAUGCAACGGGAGGAGGAGGGUAUGCUGGCCCCGCUGCUGAGCCACGGCCGAGUGCACUUCUUGUGGAUCAAACACAGCAAUCUCUACUUGGUGGCCACCACACUGAAGAACGCCAAUGCCUCUCUGGUGUACUCCUUUCUGUACAAGACUGUGGAGGUCUUCUGCGAGUACUUUAAGGAGCUGGAGGAGGAGAGCAUCCGAGACAACUUUGUCAUUGUGUACGAGCUGCUGGACGAGCUGAUGGACUUCGGCUUUCCGCAGACCACGGACAGCAAGAUCCUGCAGGAGUACAUCACACAGCAGGGCAACAAGCUGGAGACCGGCAAGUCUCGAGUGCCACCGACAGUCACCAAUGCUGUGUCCUGGCGCUCCGAGGGCAUCAAGUACAAAAAGAACGAGGUCUUCAUUGAUGUCAUCGAGUCUGUUAACCUUCUGGUGAAUGCUAAUGGGAGUGUCUUGCUCAGCGAGAUUGUGGGCACCAUCAAGCUGAAGGUGUUUCUGUCUGGGAUGCCAGAGCUGCGGCUGGGCCUCAAUGACCGAGUGCUCUUUGAGCUUACUGGCCGCAGCAAGAACAAGUCUGUGGAGCUGGAAGAUGUGAAAUUCCACCAGUGUGUGAGGCUUUCACGCUUCGACAACGACCGCACCAUCUCCUUCAUACCCCCGGAUGGGGACUUCG